rnacentral:rRNA from 1 species
GAUGAACGCUAGCGGCAGGCUUAAUACAUGCAAGUCGAACGAGAUCCUUCGGGAUCUAGUGGCGCACGGGUGCGUAACGCGUGGGAAUCUACCCCUUGGUUCGGAAUAACAGUGAGAAAUUACUGCUAAUACCGGAUAAUGUCGCAAGACCAAAGAUUCAUCGCCGAGGGAUGAGCCCGCGUAAGAUUAGCUAGUUGGUGGGGUAAAGGCCUACCAAGGCGACGAUCGGUAGCUGGUCUGAGAGGACGACCAGCCACACUGGGACUGAGACACGGCCCAGACUCCUACGGGAGGCAGCAGUGGGGAAUUUUGGACAAUGGGGGCAACCCUGAUCCAGCCAUGCCGCGUGUGUGAAGAAGGCCUUCGGUUGUUAAGU